rnacentral:sRNA from 1 species
CCUGGGAGAUGACUUGAAGCUGUUGGUGCAGUGGUAACAUUUGCAGGCUCUGAAAGGGGGAGGAGCUGAUUUAAGGAGAGGGAAGACUUACUUUGUGGUGCCGGUGGGUUACCCCGUUCCAGCCUGUCUGCCCUCUUAAGUUCACAGUGUGCCUGCGUCGGGAAGGGCAGACUGUGUACCAGCAAGUCCUGUCCCUGGAGCGCCCAACUGUCCUCCGCAGCUGGAACUGGGGCCUGUGUGGGUACUUUGCUUUCUACCAUGCCCUCUAUCCCCGAGCCUGGACUGUCUAUCAGCUUCCUGGCCAGAAUGUCACCCUCACCUGCCGUCAGAUCACACCCAUCUUGCCUCAUGACUACCAGGACAGCAGCCUGCCUGUAGGAGUCUUUGUGUGGGAUGUGGAAAAUGAAGGGGACGAAGCUCUAGAUGUGUCCAUCAUGUUCUCCAUGCGGAAUGGACUGGGGGGUGGAGACGAUGCCCCAGGGGGUUUGUGGAAUGAGCCCUUCUGUCUGGAGCGUGGCAGGGAAACUGUCCAGGGGCUGCUGCUGCAUCAUCCAACCCUUCCAAACCCCUACACGAUGGCUGUAGCUGCACGAGUCACGGCAGAUACCACGGUAACCCACAUCACAGCCUUUGACCCUGACAGCACGGGGCAGCAGGUGUGGCAGGAUCUACUUCAGGAUGGACAGCUGGACUCUCCCACUGGCCAAAGCACCCCUACGCAGAAAGGAGUAGGCAUUGCUGGAGCUGUGUGUAUUUCCAGCAAGUUGCGACCUCGAGGCCAGUGCCGCCUGGAGUUUUCACUGGCUUGGGACAUGCCCAGGAUCAUGUUUGGAGCUAAAGGCCAAGUCCACUACAGGCGGUAUACAAGGUUCUUUGGCCAGGAUGGAGAUGCAGCACCUGCCCUCAGCCACUAUGCACUGUGCCGAUACGCAGAGUGGGAAGAGAGGAUCUCAGCUUGGCAGAGCCCAGUAUUGGAUGACAGAUCACUGCCUGCCUGGUACAAAUCUGCACUGUUCAAUGAACUAUACUUCCUGGCUGAUGGAGGCACAGUAUGGUUGGAAGUUCUUGAGGACUCCCUACCGGAGGAGCUGGGCAGAAACAUGUGUCACCUCCGCCCCACCCUACGGGACUACGGUCGAUUUGGCUACCUUGAGGGCCAAGAGUACCGCAUGUACAACACAUAUGAUGUCCACUUUUAUGCAUCCUUUGCCCUCAUCAUGCUCUGGCCCAAACUUGAGCUCAGCCUACAGUAUGACAUGGCUCUGGCCACUCUCAGGGAGGACCUGACACGGCGACGGUACCUGAUGAGUGGGGUGAUGGCACCUGUGAAAAGGAGGAACGUCAUCCCCCAUGAUAUUGGGGACCCAGAUGAUGAACCAUGGCUCCGCGUCAAUGCAUAUUUAAUCCACGAUACUGCUGAUUGGAAGGACCUGAACCUGAAGUUUGUGCUGCAGGUUUAUCGGGACUAUUACCUGACGGGUGAUCAAAACUUCCUGAAGGACAUGUGGCCUGUGUGUCUAGCUGUGAUGGAGUCUGAAAUGAAGUUUGACAAGGACCAUGAUGGACUCAUUGAAAAUGGAGGCUACGCAGACCAGACCUAUGAUGGAUGGGUGACCACAGGCCCCAGUGCUUACUGUGGAGGGCUGUGGCUGGCAGCUGUGGCUGUGAUGGUCCAGAUGGCUGCUCUGUGUGGGGCACAGGACAUCCAGGAUAAGUUUUCUUCCAUCCUCAGCCGGGGCCAAGAAGCCUAUGAGAGACUGCUGUGGAAUGGUGAGUUCGGGGAGCCUAAGUAGUCUUAAGGCAGCUGAGAGGACACCAGGAGCCUUAUUUUUCUCUUCCUUGACUCCAGGCCGCUAUUACAACUAUGACAGCAGCUCUCGGCCUCAGUCUCGUAGUGUUAUGUCUGACCAGUGUGCUGGACAGUGGUUCCUGAAGGCCUGUGGCCUAGGAGAAGGAGACACUGAGGUGUUUCCUACCCCACAUGUGGUCCGUG